UACGUAGGGGGCAAGCGUUGUCCGGAAUCAUUGGGCGUAAAGCGCGUGUAGGCGGUUCAGUAAGUCUGCUGUGAAAGUCCAGGGCUCAACCCUGGGAUGCCGGUGGAUACUGCUGGGCUAGAGUACGGAAGAGGCGAGUGGAAUUCCCGGUGUAGCGGUGAAAUGCGUAGAGAUGUGGAGGAACACCAGUGGCGAAGGCGACUCUUUGGCCUGUAACUGACGCUGAGGCGCGAAAGCGUGGGGAGCAAACAGG
rnacentral:rRNA from 1 species